rnacentral:rRNA from 1 species
GUGAACGCUGGCGGUAGGCCUAACACCUGCCAGUCGAACGGCAGCACAGUAAGAGCUUGCUCUUACGGGUGGCGAGUGGCGGACGGGUGAGGAAUACAUCGGAAUCUACUUUUUCGUGGGGGAUAACGUAGGGAAACUUACGCUAAUACCGCAUACGGCCUACGGGUGAAAGCAGGGGAUCUUCGGACCUUGCGCGACUGAAUGAGCCGAUGUCGGAUUAGCUAGUUGGCGGGGUAAAGGCCCACCAAGGCGACGAUCCGUAGCUGGUCUGAGAGGAUGAUCAGCCACACUGGAACUGAGACACGGUCCAGACUCCUACGGGAGGCAGCAGUGGGGAAUAUUGGACAAUGGGCGCAAGCCUGAUCCAGCCAUACCGCGUGGGUGAAGAAGGCCUUCGGGUUGUAAAGCCCUUUUGUUGGGAAAGAAAAGCAGCAGGUUAAUACCCCGCUGUUCUGACGGUACCCAAAGAAUAAGCACCGGCUAACUUCGUG